CUUUGAUCGUUAGUCGCGAGGUACCCACGACUUUAGUAAAAGGGAGACGAGACCCUCUUGUAUACCUAGACUUAGACCAUCUGGCGAUAGUUGCUAUCGUACGUGACCACAGGAACCCGAUAGAAGGUUUCGUAGCAAGACUAAGUAUCGGUACAGUUAAGGAAGACAAGCUACUCGUUGUAGAAUUAGUCCAAUCAAAGGGGAUAUUCUUACUACACGGAGCCCUUUAUUAUACUUGCAUGUUACAUAAUAACGUGAAGAAAAAAAUGGACUACGGUGAUACACUCGUCAAUAUUGACCCAGCCGAAGUUCAAGUUACACUUAUCCCCUAGGUUAAACACGACGAGGUUGCCCCUGAUCCCCAUUACAACAAAGAUUUGGUCCCUAUACCGGAUUACUAAAACGUGAGGGUUGUAAUGGACAGUACCAGUAGUUACCUUAAAGUUGGCCGCGGUGAGGGGCGGGUGCAACGAGACGUUUUUUUUAUUAACUAAACAGGACAGUUUUCAUACUUUGGAAUGAAGUUGCCAGUUCAAUAUGGUCUACCAGAUAAUGGAACCACUACGUACUAAGAGUUGGCCAAGGACGGAUACACAAGUAUGGCUGAGACGUACAGGAGUAGUGACAGACUACUGAGUUUCGGUUAUGUACCGAGGUAGUGGACAAAUGGUCCCAGUAGACGACGUUAAAGGUGAUACGCCGACGCAACUGCUCGAAGCAUCGGAGGAAGGAGUUAAUGGUGUCCGCCGUCAGUACGAUGUGCACGGACUAGACGUUCCCUCCGUAGACGCCGUUGUUAUGACAAACAAUCUAGUCUUUCCUCAUUAAACAUUAAAAGACUUAAAUCAAGACUUAAACCAAAAAUGGAUAACGACGUUGGUUGACAGCUAGUAGAAGACUUCGUCACAGCAUCGAAAGUAGCAGAAGUGGACAACGUAAGUCCACUAGUCUACAUUAAGUUUAAGAUGAAAAGG
rnacentral:rRNA from 1 species